rnacentral:rRNA from 1 species
CCUCCAAGGCUAAAUACUCCUGACUGACCGAUAGUGAACCAGUACCGUGAGGGAAAGGCGAAAAGAACCCCGGCGAGGGGAGUGAAAAAGAACCUGAAACCGUGUACGUACAAGCAGUGGGAGCCCCACCACCAAAGCAUUUGCUGUACCGCGUUGACGGAGCGAAGCGACGUCAAACCGAUAAAACAGCAGUGUAAAGUGAGCCGCAGGGCGCUUUGCGCGACAGCGCAAAGGCAGGCGGUUUCGCGUAGCGAAAGCGAAUGCUUUGGGGUGGGGUGACUGCGUACCUUUUGUAUAAUGGGUCAGCGACUUAUAUUCUGUAGCAAGGUUAACCGAAUAGGGGAGCCGGAGGGAAACCGAGUCUUAAUUGGGCGUUAAGUUGCAGGGUAUAGACCCGAAACCCGGUGAUCUAGCCAUGGGCAGGUUGAAGGUUGGGUAACACUAACUGGAGGACCGAACCGACUAAUGUUGAAAAAUUAGCGGAUGACCUGUG